rnacentral:rRNA from 1 species
UUAAGGAUACUGCCAGUGACAAACUGGAGGAAGGCGGGGACGACGUCAAGUCAUCAUGGCCCUUACGACCAGGGCUACACACGUGCUACAAUGGUCGGUACAAAGGGUUGCUACCUAGCGAUAGGAUGCUAAUCUCAAAAAGCCGAUCGUAGUCCGGAUUGGAGUCUGCAACUCGACUCCAUGAAGUCGGAAUCGCUAGUAAUCGCGGAUCAGAAUGCCGCGGUGAAUACGUUCCCGGGCCUUGUACACACCGCCCGUCACACCAUGGGAGUUUGUUGCACCAGAAGUAGCUAGCCUAACUGCAAAGAGGGCGGUUACCACGGUGUGGCCGAUGACUGGGG